CUAGCUGUUGCGUGGUUCUCUAAAUAACAGGCACGCGCGUAGAUCACAAUUGUUUGAUCUAUCAAGUGUAGACAUCUGUGGACCUCCUACCAAGAUAGCUGCCUGAUCUCCUUCCCACCUUUCUUCUCCCAUCCUGUCAGCAUAACUAUUAAAUCCAAGAAGGCAGAGGAGGAGAAGAAGAAAAGACAAAACCAUGGAUAUCUCAGAUGUUAAAGGAUCUUUCCAGUGGGCCGGUGUUGUAAAGGCCACAUGCGUCCACUCAUCUUUGCAGAGAGGAUGAAUUGGAACCAGCUCCAGAGGUGACGGUGUGUUUGGUGUGGCCAGUGCUCAUUUAACCUAUUUGAAUACUCAAGGGAAUGUAAUCAGAAAAGGUGGGAAUAGACUCCACCCCCCCAGAAACUCGAGCCGAAAGGAGCUAAAAUAUCAAACAUGCAUUCUAAGGAAUCACUAUUGCUUCUCAGAAGGUUCUCUGCCCCUCUGUUUUUUCUAAAAGGCAUCCCAGUCUUGCAGUCAUUACCACAACAGCAGAGUGAGCCCAGGGAACAGUAGGAAACUUCAGAUAGCAUUAUUUAAAUCCUCACUCCUUGUAGGUACCAUCUUGGUGAGGUUAGCUUCAAAUUCAUAAGAAUAAGUGCUUUUGCCCAUCCUAAUUCUGUGCAUUUGACAUUUUCUUUUUUUUUUUUUUAUGUUUUCAUUUAUUUUUGAGAGAGAGAGAGAGACAGAGCACGAGCAAGGGAGGAGCAGAGAGAGAGGGAGACACAGAAUCCAAAGCAGACUCUGGGCUCUGAGCGGUCAGCAAAGAGCCUGAUGCAGGGCUCGAACUCACAAACCAUGAGCUCAUGACCUGAGCUGAUGUGGGACGCUUCACCGACUGAGCCACCCAGGCGCCCUGACAGUAACACAUUUUCAAAUGUCCAGUUAAUUGUGUUCACGUGGGUCAUUCAGUCAUGGGCCCAAACUAAACACUUACACAGUACCAAGCACUGUGCUGGUCUCCAGUGAGUCAAAACGGGGGGCUUCUGUUUUUCAUGUUACACGUAAAGCUGAUGCAACAAUAACUUACUAGGCACCUACAUUGUUCCCAGCAAAGUAUAAUCAACUUUGUGAUUUUGACUAAAGAGUUGCACUCACACUGUUAGUAAUUCAACUCAGCCCUGUUCUUGGUCCCCUCAAAGUCAUGGGAAGUAAUGUUUUGAUCGUUGUUUGUACAUUGAUCCUAUGAUACUUUGAGUUAUUAUUAUUGUUGUUGUUGCUGGCAGUGGAAGGCCCUCAUCCAGUGAGACUAGUAGUUUUUAACAUUUUGGUCGUUACAUUCUCCUUUCAGAGCAAAGAAGGCCAGGUGCCCUCUCUCCAGAAAAAUCCACAUGUUUCACACACUCAUAAUUUUAUAUGUAAUAAGUUAACAGACCCUCUAGAGCAGAGUCAGUAGACUUUUUCCAUAAAGGCCAGAUAGUAAAUAUUUUAGACUUUAUGGACCGAGAGGCAAAGAAUGGAUAUUAUGUGGUGGAGACAUUUGUCCCUCCCCCCAAACCCGUGGGACAUACGUUCCAAGACCCCCAGUGGGUGCCUGAAACCACAGAUAGUACUGAACCUUAUUAUACUGUUUUUUUCUAUACUUACAUACCUAUGAUGGAGUUUAAUUUAUAAAUGAAGCACAGGUUCUAGAAUAAUCGUAACAAUAUACUGUAAUUAAAGUUAUGUGAAUGUGGUCUCUCUCGCGCGCUCUUAAAAUAUCUUACUGUGCUGUACUCACCCUUCUUGUGAUGUCACAAAAUGAGAAAAUGCCUACGCGAUGAGAGGAAGUGAGGUGGACGACGUAAGCAUCGUGACGCAGCGUUAGGCUGCUCUUGACCUCCUGACCUUCUGACUGUAUCUCAGAAGGAGCGUCAUCUGCUUCCUGACCACCAUUGACUGCAGGCAACCGAAGCUGUGGGAAAGCGAAACCGCAGCAAUUUUUAAUUGAUAAAAUCCAAACUAUAGCAAUUGAGUAUGGGUUUUUGUAAUGAAAAUAUAUCACUUAAUCACGGCUCCAAGUUAGUAUCCCUUAUCAUCAAAUCAGUUGACAAUGUUCAUCUGUAAAAGCCAUCCGUAGCUUGAGGAUGGUAAAACCCAGGCAGUGGGCUGGAUUUGGCCGGUGGGCCUUAGUUUGCUAAUCGCUGCUGUGAGUUCCACCCAGAGGAAAAGACCCAGGUCCAGACUGUUUUCAGGAAGCUCUGCUGAGAGUAGGUACAGGCACGGCCAGGAUCAGCAAUGCUGUUCGUGGCCCUCCAUCUUGGUGGCAGGGGACAAGCUCACACAGUGGCCUUCCCUGGAGCCGGCAAGGAUUCCUGGCACAGCACUCCCGCGCACGGAAGGGCUGGCUGGCAGCUGAAUUAGGGUCGCAUUUCUACUGCACGGAGUUGCAACCAAGAACGCAUGGUGUAGUAAAUUCUAUUAACCUACAUUCUGUGACCUCAAUAAAACUUUCUCAAUAAUCAGCAAGAAUAACAAUGCACAUGAAAAGAAAUUCCUUUGCCCAGUGUUUGCAAGUUGAAAUGUAAAAAGCACAUCAGUGGAUAAGGCUUUUUAACGAAUAAAAUCAUUUCCUUAAUCGGCAGUUAACUUUCAAUCAAUACUCACUCCCAGAAACCCCAAAAAACACCACGUCGCCAAUUUAAAAGAGCUUAGAAUAAACCAUAAUAAACUAAUCAAGAGGCAGGGUUCAACAAAAAUGAUUAUGCAGAAAUUUUAGCCUUGAACUCACAUAGUUCAUCUGUGUCUCCUAAAAACAUGCCAUGGUAGCAGUCAAUCACAAGAGAAAUGUAAUUCUAUAUAAUGUUUUCAGGCCUAUAAUGUCUGGAAAGCUUAGGCCACUAGGAAGAGGCAUAGACGCUUUUCAUUGUUGGUUAGAACCCAUUGCUUCGUUUCAAUAAUGGUUAAAUAAAUAAAUAAGUAGAUAAAUGCAGCUCCCUUGACUGGCUGGCCGAGCGGCACAAUCUGAGCGUCAAACUUGACACAAGUUCUCCACCUAGUGGAUGUUUCAAAAGAUGUGCAAUAAAAUAAAAAUUGCGCGGGCUUGCGGAGGUUCCUCACAAAAUUCAAAAUAGAUCUACCCUAUGACCCAGCAAUAGCGCUGCUAGGAAUUUACCCAAGGGAUCCAGGAGUGCUGAGGAGUAGGGGCACUUGUACCCCAAUGUUUAUAGCAGCACUUUCAACAAUAGCCAAACUAUGGAAAGAGCCUAAAUGUCCAUCAGUUGACAAAUGGAUAAAGAAGAUGUGGUUUAUAUAUACAAUGGAAUACUACUUGGCAAUGAGAAAGAAUGAAAUAUGGAGUUUUGUAGCAACAUGGAUGGAACUGGAGGGUAUUGUGCUGAGUGAAAUCAGUCAGGAAGAGAAGGACAGAUAUCCUAUGUUUUCACUCAUAUGUGGAUCUUGAGAAACUUAGAAGACCUUGGGGGAGGGGAAGGGGAAAAAACAGUUACAAACAGAAAGGCAGGGAGGCAAGCCAUAAGAGACUCUUAAAU